ACGCACGCUGGCGGCAUGCCUAACACCUGCAAGUCGCACGAGACCUUCGGGUCUAGUGGCGCACGGGUGCGUAACGCGUGGGAACCUGCCCUUAGGUUCGGAAUAACUCCCCGAAAGGGGUGCUAAUACCGGAUAAUGUCUUCGGACCAAAGAUUUAUCGCCUUUGGAUGGGCCCGCGUUGGAUUAGCUAGUUGGUAGGGUAAAAGCCUACCAAGGCGACGAUCCAUAGCUGGUCUGAGAGGAUGAUCAGCCACACUGGGACUGAGACACGGCCCAGACUCCUACGGGAGGCAGCAGUGGGGAAUAUUGGACAAUGGGCGAAAGCCUGAUCCAGCAAUGCCGCGUGAGUGAUGAAGGCCUUAGGGUUGUAAAGCUCUUUUACCCGGGAUGAUAAUGACAGUACCGGGAGAAUAAGCUCCGGCUAACUCCGUG
rnacentral:rRNA from 1 species